rnacentral:lncRNA from 1 species
UAAGACAUUCCUCUAGCAUGCAUUUCCAAUCUAAUAUCCAGAGUGAUCCUUUUGAAAUCUAGAUUAUAUCAGCCUGUAGCUGAAGUGAUGUGAUGUCUCAUCAAAGAGCUGGAAGCUCUACAGCGUUUGCCCGGGUUCUUCCCUGUGACCUCAUCACCUGGUGCUUUCGCUUCCGCCCUGCGCUUUUCUUGUUCUUACUGUAUGUGCCAAGCAUGUGCAGGCUGCUUACUCUUCUCCAAAGGUCUGCAGGAGGAGUUCCUUUUCUUCCUUCCCGUCUCCCUGCAGCCAGUAUGCAUAACAGCAGAUUUGGAGUGAUUCUCUAGUUUUAAAACCAUACAAA